UACGUAGGGUGCAAGCGUUGUCCGGAAUUAUUGGGCGUAAAGAGCUCGUAGGCGGUUUGUCGCGUCUGCUGUGAAAUCCUGAGGCUCAACCUCGGGCUUGCAGUGGGUACGGGCAGACUAGAGUGCGGUAGGGGAGAUUGGAAUUCCUGGUGUAGCGGUGGAAUGCGCAGAUAUCAGGAGGAACACCGAUGGCGAAGGCAGAUCUCUGGGCCGUAACUGACGCUGAGGAGCGAAAGCAUGGGGAGCGAACAGG
rnacentral:rRNA from 1 species